AACAAGGAAGUGUUGGGGGACUAAAGCAGUAAGGUGACCCUUGACAAAUGGGGGAGGAGAACUGGCAGGUGAUCUCACUUGACAGUUCCGGUAGAAUGUUCCGCAGACAUCUCAGACUUCGCAGGCACGCGCCAGGAAUCUACCCACUUACCAAGCAGAGUCAGCAAGACAGAAACAACAGCUUCAAGGAAUAAAAACAUCUUCAUUCCUCUACCUUAGCAAGUGUUUUAUAAUUGCAGUGAGCACCGAGAAUCUUGGGAGGCCACUACACCCAAAUGUCUUGGUAAUAAAUAUAGGUCUGUGCCUGUGUCUGUAGUAUACCAGGGACCCAGGAGACAAAUAAGGUUGAAUUCCUCACAUGAGUGUGUUUUACGAGUGUUUUCCUGAGGAUCAUAGUAGAGGCAUUUAUGGCCACAGAAAAAGAGACUUUUCAGGAGUCAUUUCAUGGGGCGAGAGACACCAAAGUGGUUAUAAAAAGUAAGGCACCUCUGCACAGUACAUCUUUUGGAAAGCAAGGCUGCUGAGGACUUGGCAUCACUGCCCCUCUGCUUCUCCAGGUCAUCUUCCCUUCCCUUUGUCCCCAAGGAGCUGUGAGAUCCAAAAAAACAGGUGAGGCUGAUUGCAACUGCUUCUGCUACCAAAAGAUUCUACUCCUUAAAACCAAAAAAUAUAAAAAGGGAUAAAAACUGCCUACACAGGAUUUUCUUCCCACCCCCUGGACAGCCCUGUCAUUUAUAACACACAGGGCUCAGCCCUUGGCUGUCAUUAGCACUGAGAAAACUGUUGAACUCUUUCCCUUGUUUUGUAU